AGUGGCAGGAGAAACAGGCGCAGAGCUGGUGAAUAGCACUCACGCCGAGAGCCCACCCCGUGCUGAGAUAGAGCAACACAGGGCUGUCUUUCCUGCUCCAGAGCCUGUGAGGAGUUUGGUCUAUAUCAAGAGGCUGGGUUCUGUCAUGUCGGAAGCAGGACCCCUGAUGCAGCGGUUCCUCCAGGGGCAGCCCAGAGUCUUGGGGGCCCUCUUGCUGUUGGUGGGGCUGCUGCAGAUGGCCUUUGGUGUCCUCUUGGCCAUUUCCCCCUGCGUCUAUAGGGAUGAGCUGCACGUCCACUUUUACUCAGCAGUGCUGUUGCUCUUGGCCGGCAUCAUCACUCUGGCUGCAGACACAGCCCACAGCCUGGCUCUGGUGAAAGCCUGCCUGGUCAUCGACAUCAUCUGCACGGUGGUGGUGGGCGUGAUCAACUUAUUCUACCUGGUGGACUUGGUGUACGAUCCCCAUAAUCGGUACAUCCGGUGUCCUUCCAGCAACAGGUUGCACUGCAGGCGGCUGUACCAGGUCUUGCACUAUUGCACGGGCAUGCGGGUCAUCAUCCUGAUCUUAACUUCGCUGGGGUUCUUCGUUUCCAUUGCCCUGGCAGCCUUCGGGUGCAAAGCAGUGUGUCGCCAGAACUCUGCCGAUGAUGUGCCAGUCGCUACCCUGACAAAUCUGCCUGCUUCCCAUGAGGCCACCGCGGAGCCAGAGCCUGUGGUGUCAGAGGGACCCACAGCAUGAGUGUCCCCUGGUGGAGAGACCGACAGCCCCCCUCAGUGAGCAGCUACCCCGUGCCCCUCAAGUCCUGGUAUUUGAUCUUCCACAAGAAGUCUACCAGGGGCAUCUCCUCCUGCUUUAAUGAGUAGGUCUAUCAGCGAAGCUGCAGGCAUGGAUCAUGACAUGCAUUAUUGCUCCAAAGAAAUGGCUUUGCGGCUGAUUGAGGUGUGCUGCCGUUCCCCGCAGGAUGGUUUCUUAACAUGUAGAACACCCCCUUCUUCAAAAAAAUAAACAAUCCAGUUUCACCUUG